UUCAGAGUUGAGGCAAAUCCAAUUCCACGAAUUUUUUAAUCUGAGCUCACACUUUCUUCAUGACAAGCCUCUCCCAAAUUCUCCCAAUCUCGACCAUCCAUUUCACACAAUCAAAGGCUCAGAUUCUUCCUACAGGUUCACGUGGAUUCUCCUCACAAUUCCUGAUCCAAGCCAUAAAUCGUGACUCACAAUUUCCUCCAAUUCUCCCUCCAAUUUGUCACACCAUUUUCACCAAACUUCAUCCUAUAUAUACAGGUUCAGAUUACACAGAGUGGAGGAGGGGAAAUAAUUAGCGUUAUGCUACCAAAUUGAAAUCAGAAGACUCUCCUCCAAAGUUUGUUACCUCAUCGUUUUUCAACAAACAGUUUCGAAUAUCACCAUAACCAAACCUUCGCAAGCCUCACCACUGAUCCAAAACCUUCAUACAAUCUUCAUCAUCAAUAAUCCAUCAAAGAUCCAACGGCAUAGCAUUCGCAUCCUUCCUCCGUUUCAACAUAACAACCAACCUUCAUUAUCCCCAAUUCCAGAUUCAACUACUUCAUACAUCAUCAUCAACUUGCAUCAAAGGUCAGGUAAUAACCUCAUAUCCAUCAUCAUUACUUCAACAUCCGCAUCAUCAUCAGUAGCGACUGAACAACAUGCAGAGUUGCAACAAUCUCCCGUUGACUCAAUAUUAACAGCAACAAUCAGAGACGAAGGAAGAGCAAAGUUAAACGUACCUGAGCAGAUUCGUUCGGAUAUCUCGAAGAAGUUUUAUUAUCUCAUCUCUGGUUUUCUAAAUUUCAUUUCAUCAAGCUAAAUCCAGUUAACUGUUGAUCGUCAAGUUGUUUCCUCAACACCGCUACAGAACUAGAGCUGCCGUCAGACAAAGAAUGGCAAACCAAGAGAAGCACAAUUUAGAAGUUAGAAUGGAGUUUUAUGGUUCAAAAUCAGAGAAUGACAAGUGAAGCUUCAAUCAAAGUCAGAUUAUCCCCUAAAGCCAAGUGUUUCAGACAGAACAGCUCAUCCUCAUUGCUGAUUAGUCACUAGGCCUUGUGUUCUUUACUGUUUGCAUUUCUUUCAAUUGUAAUGUGUGUUUAAUUUCAAACUUGUUUGUUUCUUACUGUUAAUUUUAAAUGAAAUGAGCAUUGCAUGUUUUGAUUCAA